rnacentral:rRNA from 1 species
CGUAGGUGGCAAGCGUUGUCCGGAUUUAUUGGGUUUAAAGGGUGCGUAGGCGGCUCCAUAAGUCAGUGGUGAAAUACGGCAGCUCAACUGUCGAGGUGCCAUUGAUACUGCGGAACUUGAGUACUGAUGAGGUAGGCGGAAUUGACGGUGUAGCGGUGAAAUGCUUAGAUAUCGUCAAGAACACCGAUAGCGAAGGCAGCUUACCAAGCAGUAACUGACGCUGAGGCACGAAAGUGCGGGGAUCAAACAGGAUUAGAUACCCUGGUAGUCCGCACAGUAAACGAUGAUUACUCGAUGUUGGCGAUACACAGCCAGCGUCUUAGCGAAAGCGAUAAGUAAUCCACCUGGGGAGUACGCCCGCAAGGGUG